rnacentral:rRNA from 1 species
AUUGAACGCUAGCGGGAUGCCUUACACAUGCAAGUCGAACGGAGUGGCGAACGGGUGAGUAAUGUAUCGGAACGUGCCCAGUAGCGGGGGAUAACUACGAGACAGCGGCGCUAAUACCGCAUACUAUUUGAGCUGCCGAUAUCGGAUUGGCUAGUUGGUGGGGUAACGGCUAACCAAGGCGACGAUCCGUAACUGGUUUGAGAGGACGACCAGCCACACUGGGAUGUAGACACGUCCCAGACUCCUAAGGGAGGCAGCAGUGGGGAAUUUUGGACAAUGGGUGAAACCCUGAUCCAGCCAUCCCGCGUGUGCGAUGAAGGCCUUCGGGUUGUAAAGCACUUUUGGCAGGAAAGCGGUACCUGCAGAAUAAGCACCGGCUAACUUCGUGCCAGCCGCCGCGGUAAUAC